rnacentral:tRNA from 1 species
GGGUAUGUAGUUCAGUGGUAGAGCACUUGCCUAGCACGUAUGAAGCUCUGGAUUCAAUCUCCAGCACCU